rnacentral:rRNA from 1 species
GACGAACGCUGGCGGCGUGCUUAACACAUGCAAGUCGAGCGGUAAGGCCCUUUCGGGGGUACACGAGCGGCGAACGGGUGAGUAACACGUGGGUGACCUGCCUUUAGCUCUGGGAUAAGCCUGGGAAACUGGGUCUAAUACCGGAUAUGACUCCAUGAUGCAUGUUGUGGGGUGGAAAGCCUUGUGCGGCUGGAGAUGGGCCCGCGGCCUAUCAGCUUGUUGGUGGGGUGAUGGCCUACCAAGGCGACGACGGGUAGCCGGCCUGAGAGGGCGACCGGCCACACUGGGACUGAGACACGGCCCAGACUCCUACGGGAGGCAGCAGUGGGGAAUCUUGCGCAAUGGGCGAAAGCCUGACGCAGCGACGCCGCGUGAGGGAUGACGGCCUGGUGUAA